UACAGAGGUCUCAAGCGUUGUUCGGAUUCAUUGGGCGUAAAGGGGUGCGAUAGGCGGCGCGGUAAGUCGGGUGUGAAAGUCUCGGGGCUUAACUCCGAAACUGCAUUCGAUACUGCCGUGCUUGAGGACUGGAGAGGAGACUGGAAUUUACGGUGUAGCGGUGAAAUGCGUAGAGUAUCGAUAAGGAAGACCAGUGGCGAAGGCGGGUCU
rnacentral:rRNA from 1 species